GGCUGCGGCUGCAUCCUCACUCGUGUUUGCUGCGUCCAUCCUCCCCCGCGUGGGGGGAACAGCCGGCCAGACCAGCGUACCUACAGCGGGGGCCGCCAGGGGUUGGGGGCGGGGGAUGCCGGGCUGCCGCAUCAGCGCCUGCGGCCCGGGGGCCCAGGAAGGGUCGGCGGAACCGGGGUCCCCGCCGCCGCCGCCGCUGCCCCGGGAGCCCCUGUCGUGCCCUCAGCCCCAUCCCCAAGUCCGACCUUGGCCCCGACCCGGGCUCAAGCCUCAUCGCAGCCCGAAGCGGCCCAGGAGUCGGGGGGCUCCGCUGAGGGGCUGGAGCUGCAGCGCUGGCGCCAGGGCGCUAGCGGGGCCGCGGGGGGCCCCGGGCCGGCAGGGGGCGCGGGCGGCGGCCCGGGUGCCGCGGGGGCGGCGGCGGCGGCAGGCGUCCGCGCGCUGGAGCUGGCCGAAGCGCGGCGGCGACUGCUGGAGGUGGAGGGCCGCCGGCGCCUGGUGUCGGAGCUGGAGAGCCGCGUGCUGCAGUUGCACCGCGUCUUUCUGGCGGCCGAGCUGCGCCUGGCGCACCGCGCCGAGAGCCUGGGCCGCCUGGGUGGCGGCGUGGCGCAGGCCGAGCUCUACCUGGCGGCGCACGGGCCGCGCCUCAAGAAGGGCUCGCGCCGCGGCCGCCGCGCCCGCCCGCCCGCGCUGCUCGCCUCGGCGCUGGGUCUGGGCGGCUGCGUGCCCUGGGGCGCCGGGCGCCUGCGGCGGGGCCACGGCCCAGAGCCGGAGUCGCCCUUCCGCCGGAGCCCGCCCCGCGGCCCCGCCUCACCCCAGCGCUGACCUCCGGCGCCGGGACCCCUGGCCACCCCGAGAGACCACCGCCCGGGUGCCGACCGAUGGACUGCGGACGCCGGCUGGGUGGAACGACGUCACCGACGCGGAUGGACAGAUUGGCCGACCACAGGAAGAGACGGUCGAGGGGCCGGGGGCCCAGUAAAGAAGGCGAAACCGAGCUCCUCCCAGCUCCUCCAAGCCUCAACUCAGGAUCUCUCUUCUGGAUUCUGCUCCUUUCACCUCCUUCAGGAAGACUUCUCUAAUCCACCCUGCACAAGCGCAGCACCCUCCUCACCUCAAAGGAGCCCCUCAGUUGGCAGUGGCAAGGGGCUGGGUUCUAGGGAAGUUGCCUCUACUAGGAAUUUAUAUAUUCCCGCAUUUGACUCCAGCUUACAUGGUACAACUGGGGAUGUUACAAGUCCUUUGAGAUGCAAUCAGAUUAACAGAGCAGCAAACCUUUCCACUGAGAAAAGGAUUUCUCUUUAAAAAACAAGACUCAGCACAGCUGGGGUCCCCAUUUUGGUAGAUGCCAGUGUUGCUCAGUCGAACAGUGGCAGGAGGGCUGUUUGAGGGAAAACGUUGCUCUGAACAAUCCCUCAGUUUCCUUUGCCCACCAUCCUUGCCCUGUGUGGGUGCCUGCCUGCGGCCCCUCAGAAAGAAAAUGGGCUGCUGGCUCCCAGGGGAGACUCCUCUUUCUCAGGAAGAGGGGUUGACCACAUAAAAAUUUUAAGUUUUAAAUGAAAAAAGGGAGCACGAUGGUCGACAGAAGGGGCCCACAUGGACACCCAACCCAGAACUUGUAGAAUUCUGCAAAAUGGAUGCCUCUGGAGUCAGUUGCCUGUUGUAUACAUUCAGGAAGAAUAAAUCUCGGUGACGUGAGAUAA